CUCAGAGCACAGACAACAUUAAUACACACCUGAUCUGACCUAGUCAACAUGGAAAAACACCUGCUUCUCAUUUUAACUCUGACUUCAGGUGUGAUGACUGCAGACCAGAUUAGGCCAAAUAAAGAUGCUUUUGUUGUAAAGGAAGAGGAGACUGUGGCCUUCAGCUGCACAUAUGAUACAAGCAGCAGUUAUGUUCAUCUGCACUGGUACAGACAGUAUCCCAAUGGAGAACCUCAGUAUUUAAUAUUUAGACCUGCUCGAUCAGCUACUGCAAGUGGAAGUCCCACUGAUCCUCGCUUUCAGUCGACUACAUCACGUACAUCCACUGAAUUCACUAUUACUGGUGUAACUCUGUCAGAUUCAGCUCUCUAUUAUUGUGCUCUAAGAGCUGCAGCCCAGUGA